GGUGAACGCUAGCGGCAGGCCUAACACAUGCAAGUCGAGGGGUAACUAGAGUGAUAGCAAUAUUACUUUGGCUAGACCGGCGCACGGGUGCGUAACACGUAUGCAACCUACCUUAUACUGGGGAAUAACUUCGACAAAUCGGCGCUAAUACCCCAUAACAUUGAGAAGAGGAAUCUCUUAGCAAUUAAAGCUCCGGCGGUAUAAGAUGGGCAUGCGUCCAAUUAGCUAGUUGGUGAGGUAACGGCUCAGCAAGGCUAGGAUUGGUAGAGGUGCUGAGAGGAGGAUCGCCCACACUGGUACUGAGACACGGACCAGACUCCUACGGGAGGCAGCAGUGAGGAAUAGUGCGCAAAGGACUAAAGUCUGACGCAGCCAAGCCGCGUGCAGGAUGGCGACCCUAUGGGUUGUAAACUUCUUUUGUACGGGAAUAAACCCUUCUACGUGUAGGAGGCUGAAGGUACCGUAAGAAUAAGCACCGGCUAACUCCGUGCCAGCAGCCGCCGUAA
rnacentral:rRNA from 1 species